rnacentral:lncRNA from 1 species
AUCCCACCUAGUGCCAGCUACUCUCUGGCCCUGGCGGUCUGGUCUAGCCGCCUCCAUGGCUAGUCCCAUUCAGUGACCACCCAUUUUGCAGGCUCUCUUGAUAACGGAUUCUGCUCACAUUCCCAGCAUCCACCUCCUGUGUCACAGAUCCCUGUAACCAGCUUAAAUGUGCUACCUACAUCCAUUUUGUAUGGCUCCGUGACUUAACCAGUUUUCAAGGAUACAUGAAACUACCUAUAACCGCUUUGGAAACAUUUAACCCAGUACACCUACAGUAUGCUCUGAGCUAAUUGGCUGCUUGGUCUCCUAUGUCACAAUGGCCUCAUGCAACAGUAAGCAGUAUCUAAAGUUACAGUAGUGAGGCAGGGAUUUCUUUACUAUCUAAGCUUUUUCUCUCUAAUCAAACAUCUGAAACUCAAGACAUCUUUGGAAAGCUCUUGCUGAAACAUGUUGGAAGACAGCGUAUCUUAUUUUCACCCAGAAGAUAAUUUUUCCUUCCUCAUUCCUAAUUGAUCGUCAACAGAUGUGGCAGCCGAGGCUGUUGGUUGGGGUUGGCUCUUAAAGUCCUUCCGGAAAGACAGAGAUGAACCCUCUUCAGACUGGCCCUUGGCAAACCAGUGCUCCAUCCUUCUGGCUUCUGAAAUUCAGUUUUAUCUGGCUUGUCAGUCAGAACUGUUGUACAGCGAGUGCAGUUUGGACUGCGUACAUGAACAUAUCAUUUCACGUGGGGAACCGCAUGCUGUCAGAGCUGGGCGAGACUGGGGUCUUCGGAAGAAGCUCCAUCUUGAAGAGA